UGUACCUACGGGAGGCAGCAGUGAGGAAUAUUGGUCAAUGGGAGAGAUCCUGAACCAGCCAAGCCGCGUGAGGGAAGACGGCCCUAUGGGUUGUAAACCUCUUUUGUCGGAGAACAAAACCCGGGACGUGUCCCGGACUGCGUGUAUCCGCAGAAAAAGCAUCGGCUAACUCCGUGCCCGCAGCCGCGGUAAUACGGAGGAUGCGAGCGUUAUCCGGAUUUAUUGGGUUUAAAGGGUGCGUAGGCGGUCCGUUACGUCAGCGGUAAAAUCGCGGGGCUCAACCCCGUCGAGCCGUUGAUACUGGG
rnacentral:rRNA from 1 species